rnacentral:rRNA from 1 species
UUAAAGGGAGCGUAGGCCGGAGAUUAAGCGUGUUGUGAAAUGUAGAUGCUCAACAUCUGAACUGCAGCGCGAACUGGUUUCCUUGAGUACGCACAAAGUGGGCGGAAUUCGUGGUGUAGCGGUGAAAUGCUUAGAUAUCACGAAGAACUCCGAUUGCGAAGGCAGCUCACUGGAGCGCAACUGACGCUGAAGCUCGAAAGUGCGGGUAUCGAACAGGAUUAGAUACCCUGGUAGUCCGCACGGUAAACGAUGGAUGCCCGCUGUUGGUCUGAAUAGGUCAGCGGCCAAGCGAAAGCAUUAAGCAUCCCACCUGGGGAGUACGCCGGCAACGGUGAAACUCAAAGGAAUUGACGGGGGCCCGCACAAGCGGAGGAACAUGUGGUUUAAUUCGAUGAUACGCGAGGAACCUUACCCGGGCUUGAAUUGCAGAGGAAGGAUUUGGAGACAAUGACGCCCUUCGGGGCCUCUGUGAAGGUGCUGCAUGGUUGUCGUCAGCUCGUGCCGUGAGGUGUCGGCUUAAGUGCCAUAACGAGCGCAACCCCUCUCCUUAGUUGCCAUCAGGUCAUGCUGGGCACUCUGGGGACACUGCCACCGUAAGGUGUGAGGAAGGUGGGGAUGACGUCAAAUCAGCACGGCCCUUACGUCCGGGGCUACACACGUGUUACAAUGGCAGGUACAGAGAGACGGUCCCUUGCAAAAUGGAUCAAAUCCUUAAAGCCUGUCUCAGUUCGGACUGGGGUCUGCAACCCGACCCCACGAAGCUGGAUUCGCUAGUAAU